rnacentral:rRNA from 1 species
CCCCUACGGGAGGCAGCAGUGGGGGAUAUUGCACAAUGGGGGGAACCCUGAUGCAGCGACGCUGCGUGGGUGAAGAAGCGCCUCGGUAUGUAAAGCUCUAUCAGCAGGGAAGAAAAAAGACGGUACCUGACUAAGAAGCCCCGGCUAACUACGUGCCAGCAGCCGCGGUAAUACGUAGGGGGCAAGCGUUAUCCGGAUUUACUGGGUGUAAAGGGAGCGUAGACGGCGCGGCAAGUCUGAAGUGAAAGGCAGGGGCUUAACCCCUGAACUGCUUUGGAAACUGCCAUGCUAGAGUGCUGGAGAGG